rnacentral:rRNA from 1 species
AUUGAACGCUGGCGGCAGGCCUAACACAUGCAAGUCGAACGAGUGGCGGACGGGUGAGUAAUGUCUGGGAAACUGCCUGAUGGAGGGGGAUAACUACUGGAAACGGUAGCUAAUACCGCAUACCAUCGGAUGUGCCCAGAUGGGAUUAGCUUGUGGGUGGGGUAACGGCUCACCAAGGCGACGAUCCCUAGCUGGUCUGAGAGGAUGACCGGCAACACGGGACUGGAGAAAGGUCCAAGAUUCCUACGGGAGGCAGCAGGGGGGAAUAUUGCAAAAUGGGGGAAAGCCUGAUGAAGCAAGGCCGGGGGUAUGAAGAGGGCUUUCGGGUUUAAAAGUCUUUUCAGCGGGGAGGCGUUACCCGAAGAAGAAGAACCGGCUAACUCCGUGCCAGCAGCCGCGGUAAAC